GGUUGCCCACGUUCAGGGCCACGGCCUCAAGAACGCAGCGCUUUUAUUGUACUUGCACUUCUCCGAGUUUAUUGUAAUACUUGUCGGAAUGUCGAUGCGUAUACGGCAUCAGAUUCGUGCGAGAAAAAAAUUUAAGCUGCGUAUACAUCGAUGAAUAUAUAUUAAACCUUAUAUUUGCGUAAAAAAUUUCUUGAUGGUUUUGCGGUGUUUUAACGACGAGUCAUUAGAUGAGUCUAAAUUUUGAGAAGUUAAUUUUGCAACGAAUUUCACGAAACAAACGUGCGCUUAAAUAACUUUGAAACCGAGUAAUCUUGCAAUGUAAAAAUUAAAAUUCUGGCAAAAAAAAUCACGUUAUCAUAUGUGACAAGAUGUAAAAAGAAUUAAGGUUGAAAACGCAUUUAUUUAUCGCCAUCCGGAAAGUUCAAUCUAAGAUUCUGUGCUUUAACAUACCAAGUCCUUUAACGAUUCCUGCCACUUACUUCAAUCGCUGUGGAAAUGAAAUCAAGAUUGAAAUAUCUUAAAGAAGUUUGAAGCGAAUUCCUUCUCUUCUGUCUCUCUCCUUAAAGUAACUAUGAAAUUUAGGGCAAGAGUUAACUUAGGAUAAAGUUUCAAACUGACUCUUAUCCUACGGGAUUAAAGAACAGAGUUUAGGAGGUCUCAUCUCGCGCCCGUAAAGAUGGAAGAGGAUUCGAGGGCAACGAACCAGGCCGAGGAGAGAAUACGAGAAAUAUUUCCGAGAGACGGAUACCGGAAGGAAAGUAACACUUGCGGCGCUAACCGGUAACGAUUGUCACAGAGGCACUUAGGGUGAAGGUCAGCAUGUAUUACGGUAUUAUUAAGUGUCUAGUUUCUUCUCCCGAUCAUCUGUAGGUGCAACUCACGCGCUCGUACGUGCGCAAGGUAGACUCACGUGCGGAACGGGCUGUUAUAAUAGUAAGUUAAGCACAGCUGUACGCGGAGUCCUGAUUAUUCGGGUCAAGGAAACUCUCCAAUUUACUCGCCACUGAAAGCGGAAUGGUGUAACGUCUAUAGCAGUUAUAACGAGAUAAUAUCUAAAUACUCUACAUAAAAUAUUUACUAACGCCGAUCGGCCGAGAUCAGCACGAUCUGAUAUGGCAUCUUUAUGAUAAAAUUUAACGCCACCUUCGGCGCAAGUUAAUAAAACAGCACGUAAUUUUCUGGACUUGUAUAUCUAUGCGAUCUCGUUACCACGUUUCCAUCGACGAAUCAACGUCAUUUAAAGCAAUUUCAGCAAUUACGAAUGGAACACCGUGAAUUGUCUUUCACAGUAAUUAUGCUAAUUAAUGUAUUAGCCUACCGACAUUAUUGAUCAAACACAAUGGAUUAAUGUAUGUUAAUUGAUGUUAAUUGGAAGCCUUACAGGCAUCGCGAGGCGGGACAAUGCACCGCGUGUUUCACGAAACGAAUCAUUGACAUUCCACCCUCGUUCUCUCUUUCUCCAUAUCUUUCUCUCUCUCUCUCUUUUUCCUCUUUCUCUCUCGUUCCGUCUCCUCGAGCAGAUCCAAUUCCGGAAGAAAGCUGCGCGAAACAAAUUCCGCGUCGGCCGGAAUGGUGAAAUUGCGCAAUUUUUCCUCGCGCUCUGACGUCAGCGACCAUUCAGGAGAGCGCCGCGCGGCUUUCACACGGAUCUUGCUUUGUUGUCUAGAUACCUACAUAAGUAGAGGCUCGUUGCAAGAGCUUAACCAAAGAAAGGAAAGAUCACGGUAACAAAUAAAUUUCGUGCCUUUUCCAUCGGACGUCUCAAACACCCGUUGUACAUGUUCUCAAUUAGAAGAUAUUAAAAGCACAUGGCGUCUAUUUUAAUAUCAAAGCCUCAAUUGUUAAAUUGGCGGUGAAGUUUAAAGUGUUCCUUUUGAAUCAAGUAUUAAAAGUCAAAUGGAUAAUAGAAAGUGAACUCUGUAAUUUCGACACAGUUCAGCCUUAUUAAAUUCAAAAUAUGAGGCCCCCUUAUUAACUUGUACAACGUCCUAAUUUCAAAUUUUGAGGGAUGACAAGAGAUCUCUUUCCUCAAAUCAAAUUGCUGGAAACGAAUUUUAUUAAAUUAGUUUCUAAUCUUUCAUAAAUUAAAAGUUUAUUAAAUUUCUAAUAUUCCUGUAAUUAAAAUUUUCUGGGACACUCUGUACAUUCUUUUACGGUAGCUAAGCUAAUAUCAAGGAAAAACGGCACAAGUUUUGUUCCGGCCGGAGCAAAAAAAAAAGGAGCAAAUUGCGGUUGUUAACUGCAGACCUCGGGGGAACAGAAAUGGACCAAGCCCAAAAAUCAAUAAUCCGCAGCUAAGAGAGAACAGCCCGGGUACGGGAAGUUGAACACGUGCUGCACCAAUAUCGGACGUCAAAUUAAUAAACACAUUCACCUGAGUUUACACUCAUAAACGUCGUCGUUUCUUCACGGUAUCUUUCAGUGCAACAUCGUUUUAAGAGCCCGCAUUAAAAUGUAUAAUUAAAAGCAAUCACGUCGUAAACGAUGCCCGGCAGUCUCCGUCGUCCGUCGAGGAGAGGCAUUAGCACGAUAAUUGCUCCACGUCGCGGGGAAACAAAUUCCCCGGAACGCAUUCGAUCGGCGCGCGCGUGCGAUGGACGGUGUGUGUGCGAUGGACAGAUUCCGAUAAACUAGUAUAUUGAAACGCAUGCCGGGGAUACAUCCUGGUUGUCUAGCGUCGGAACGGCUGUGCUCUAUCAAAGUGUGUUUUACGUUUAUUUCGGUCACGGUGCGCCCACCGAUCAAGCUUAAGUGGAUACGUCAACUUCCAAUGCAAAGCCAACUUCGCCGCGUGAAUGUCAUUACCCGUCGUAUCCGAUGCGUAACGGCUGCCCAUCGCCGGUGAGGCGAGCAGAUCGAAUCUCACGGACAACGGACCGGAGUACGCCCCUGGACUCACUUUCACCGGCUGCAUCCCGCGCAUCCGGAGAAUGGUCGAGAUUCUACAGGUAAAUAGGAUAACAGCCGCGAUACGCCGCUUCUUCUUCUUCUUCGACGUCUUUCAUUCAGGAUCGCAUUAAGUGGUGCCUUUAUAAGAAGAGGUGCCCGAGAACGAGUGAAGAUUGCGUUCGGGAUUAUUAAAUUCUUCUGCCUUUUCAGUCGCGUUAUACUUGCCGCGCUUCGGAUUACGGUGUAAAGAAAUAGUUGCCAAGCAGUCAUCUUGUGUGCCGUCAUUUUAUUACAGAGCGGCUCUCCUCGCGACGAGGUAGACUAUUAAUCUCCGCCGUUGUCGUUUACGUCGCACGAAUAAUCGAUUGCAGCCGCGUUUUACGUACCACGCUGUAACACACGACUUCUUGUCAAGUGGACAUUACGUUAGAUAAAUGAUAACGACGGGCAACAACCAUGAUAAUUUUUCGAGGAGAAAGAGAGCGGGAUCUUAACACAUGCGUGUUAGAAUCAGGGUUAAUUUAAUACUCUGAUCCUGAUGCAAUUUAAGAGCUGCGUUUCAAUACCGAAAGUAACGACGCGUAUAGCCCAAAGAAUUAGAAAAUAUGUAAAAAUCACACGAGAAAUAUUAUUUGGUUACCAAAGUCCUGCUACGACCGUUUCUCGAUCCCUUCUCGUUAAUGUUAAUUGUAUUGUGAACUAUCGCAGUCUUAUCUUGUUUUAACGCUAAUAACUGCUAAUAAAUUCUGCAAUUUUAUUCUACCAGCACACUGGAAAUCCAAGUGUUUUAUUUAAAACGCUUAAAAUGUUUAAAUUUUGGUAGUCAUCUUUUUUAAGCAUUUAGAAACGUAUUAAAGACGCAUAAAGUGCUUUUUUUCAAAACACUUACGUGUUUUAUUUUGACGUGGAUUUAAUGCAUUUAAAGUGUUUAAACAUACAUGUAUUCUUAAAAAAUGCAAAAAUGCUUUGUUUCCAGAAUAUUUUAUACUUGAAAUAAAAAUUUUGAUAAUUCCGUUCAUCUCCAUUUUUCUCGAUUUCUUUUAUAGACUGAUAUUAUUUCAGUUUAAUAUUAUAUGUCGAUGGCGAAAUCUGACUUCUUUUCGCGCUCUCAUGAGUUUCUUUUAUUUAUACAACAGGUGCAUUUUGUUCAUAAGAAAACACGCCACGGUGGAUAUUUCUAUCUAUAAGUAUUUUACUUUAACACGAUUUUAGUGUUUUCUAUUCUGUGUAUAUAAUGCUUAAAAACAUAAGUAAAUUAUUUAUGUAAAACGCAUUAAUCGUUUUGUAAUAAAACAUUAUGAUGUUUUAAUUCGAUGUAUAAAACAGUUAUCCUGUUUUAUUUUCAUAUAUUUGAUUCGAUAAAACACUUUAGUGUUUUGUUUUAAAACACCGUAUAAAACACUUAGAUUUGGAGUGAUACACAUAAAUUAAAUGGAAUAGCGUAAUGAAAGGAAAUAUGUGAAACGAGUCUAAUUUUCUCCCACCACCGCAGAUCUCGGGAUCCGGCGACCUUGUGGUCGGGGGAUAUCUCUACUCGCAUUACUGACUUUACAACCCAGUGAAACUUACGGCGAUAAUUAUAUUCUUCCCGUGACGGCGGAUAAACUCUUAUCAUUACGCCGUUACGACUGCCAUUAUGCCUACAAUGAUUACCAGUAUUUUCUCCCGGGCAUUAUACGGGAACGAGCUUAUGAAUCGCCAAUAUGGUGCAAAAAUUAAGCACAUUUAAGAGCCUCCUGCAUUUGUUUUUCUACGCAUCGCUUGCACAUCGCCGCUACGAUCUUCUGGAGGAAAUGUGUCGUUUGAAGCACGAAACGUUGACUCUCCCCUUUGAAAAUAUGAGCAUUGUAUAUAUUAUAGAGAAAAUUUUUUUUCCGAGAAUAUUGUGAAGAACCUAAAGUUAUGUAGAUUUCUUUCUUCUCUUAUCGCGCAUCUUUCUUUUCUUAUUGUUUGCUAACUCCGCGAUAACAGUCUAUCACGAUAAUUAACGCAACGGAGAACCAAAAGCGUCGCGAAAGAGCGGUGACAACAUUUCGAUAGAUUCGACUAACAAUUUUUUAGGGGAUUUCUUUGAUAAAGAUACAUGUCUUUUUAUUGUAGAUUAUAUACGCUGACCUCGGAAGGUAUUACAUUACAUUAUCGUUUAUUUCGUUUUAUAAUCUACAGUUAUUUAAUUUUUGCGCCAUUUUAUUUCUGCCGAUCGGACCUCCAACCGCUGUAAGUGCCGUGGCCUUUCCUUUCUGCGCUUUUACUGUAAGUUCCGUAAUGCGAUCGAGCCAGUAUAUUCGCCAACAAUGGCAUUGCAGUUGGCUUUUCUCGCAAUGGAAUUCGAGCCGCAUCGAUACUGCGGGGAGAAUCGCAUCUAGCACUCCCACAGCUUUUGCGAAGUGCAUCCUGAAUCGAUUGACAUUCACCCGCCGUUCGCAAACAGAAUACUUGCUCACUGACGGUUAGAUUCGUUUCAUCCUACAUAUAUCCAUCAAUUUGAACGGUCCAUAAUCGCCCGCUCGCAAAUUCCCUUCGUGUACGUUAACGCAUUAUAUCUAAAAUAUAACGCGCACGAUAUAUAAUUGUAGUUUUCCAUUUUACACUCGCCAAUCGAGAAAUACAAAUUUAUAACAAGAAUUAAUUAAUUUUUACCUCUUCACAUUACGUGAUUAAUUUCUAUCCAUUUUUACUUCAUAUUAUAUUUUACAUUAUAAUUUACAUUUCAUUAUAUUGCAUUAUCAACUUUCAUUUUAAAGAUAACUAUGUGAACAUUAAUUGAAACCUAUACACACGAAGGAAGCACAGCUGUGAGUAUAAUAACUGUUCUAUAAACGUUCGGUGAACAAAAGUUGGGGGGGGGAAACGAAUCGAGAGCUGUUGGUUCGCGCCAUCAAACUUUCCUCCGGCGAGACAAACGAUAGAGAUAGAUAUCUCGUACGGCGGUAGCUAAUUAGCGGCGUAUUGUUGCUGCUGGUAACAUCGUCUAAAUCACAGUGACUUGCGAAAUCCGAAUCGGCCCAGCGGCCAGCGGCGGAGAGGACGCUCUGAUUCCUCAAGCAAUCAGAACAUAGCGAUCGGCGGCGUUCUCUGGCCCUGAACGGGUUACAAUCGGGAGCCCCGAAACCCGUCGCGUCGGCCGGCAGUCGGCUGUAAUUUUCCGAGGUGAACUAACGGGCGCAUCAAAUCGGACGCAUAUCGGGACGGACGAUAUCGCGCGCGCGAGAUAAUCGGUGAAACUCCGGGCCGCCGCGCCGCCGCGCCGGUUCCUCCGGAGAAUUGGCGAUAAUGCGCUGCCGGGGGAAGAGCCGGGGAUAUAUACCUUUACGACUCCGUGGUACCAAUUCCUUUUAGGUUGUUCCGUUCGGGUAUAUACGCGCGGGGAUACUUUACUGCCGGUCGCCCGCGGAUUAUUGAGCCGGCGCAGGCAGGCCGAGUGGUGCACGCUUCGUACACACGGUUUAUGGAUCGUGGCCCAUACUCGGAUGCACCGCGGAUACUCGGCCAAUGGAACGUUCCAAAUAAUACUUUUUUAGUUGUUGCGCUGUGGCCGAUUAACAAAAAUCAGGACGAGACAGAGACGGCGCUUUCGGCCGCGCGGUCGAUAAUAACGGCGGGGUGUGUGUGUGUCAAUUCCUCCGAUUGGUCGCACAUAUCCGACCGAGUGCGCCGAGUUCAAAUGAAAUUAGAAUCAGCCUGAUCCAUUUUCCAAAAACAAAAGCUGAGUUUAUAUCUAUUUUGGAAAUGUCGCGGGAUUAUAAAACUAUUCGGAUUUUUAACCUUAUUUCUGUGUCAAUUGAAUAAGACAAUUCCAAUUUUGCAAGCGAGAAUACUGGAAAUAUCGACAAUAAAAGAGUCCGAAAAGCAAAAACAGCGAUUCGUAUGUGUUAUACGUUAAAAAUAUAACGUGUGAUAUAGUAAUAUGUAAAUUAGAGAAGUUUUCCUAGAAAUAGUACAGCUGAACUAGAUUAACAAGUGCGCCUCUCUGAAUAAGAAUUAGCCCACGAACUGUUAAGCGUAAAUUUAUUGCACACGACACACGGUGAGAGUUCACUCGAGAGCUCAUCUCUCACCGCUAUUAACGAAUCAAUUUACGUUUACGUAAAAUACUUUGCUCUUACGCAAAGCGCGCAUUAAUAAACGCAGCCGUCUAAGCUUCAUCGCUUCUUAUCAAGAUCGCAGAUAAUUAUCUUUUUAAUUAACGUAAGGUCACGUUUAGCACUGCAAAUGCGGAACACGACCGUCUUCCGGGAUCUCGUCCACCCCGAGAGGAGACCGGGCGAUCGGACGGCGACGACGAUCGGUAUAUCCGAUCGAGAGCCCCUCGCUCACGGUUCUCUCUCGCGCGAACGCGCAGCACGAGCGGCACGAGGAGAAAGUUUCUCGAAGCCAGGAAGUGAAGUAGGCCACGACUUUGACCGCUCGCAAGGUCCAUACUCCCGUGGCACGCUACUUUGUAGUGUCUCGUUCCUCCUCCGGCCUAAACGGCGAAUGUGUGCGUGCGCGCGCGCGCGCGCGCGUGUACGUGGCCGCGUACGUUACACACGUAUACGCGCGAUCAUCCGGCGGGUUGUGUGGUAUGCGGAUCGUCGACGGACGGUUCCACCGUCUCCGAUAUUCUCCGCAGGGUGGCCCAGAAAAGGUGGAAAUCGGUAGCAGGCGCGUAUAUUCUUUGACGAACGUCCAGCCGACUUUCCCUUGGCGGAAAUUUCAACCUCGGGCCUCGAUUACAGAGAGUGGCUCCUCCGUUGUGGACCCCUUCGCGUCUCUUGCGUGCAAAUGGGCGCGGACAAAGGUGUUUUAAUUUUAUCUCCUCAAACACCUUUCACUCCCGAUUUCGAUUCUGGGGAUUCUAAUCUAAGCCGAAUAUUUCACCUUCGGCUUAAUUAGCCGUUAAUGAAGCCGUACCAUAAACGCCUGCCCGCACUCGCGUGUGUCGAAAAUCGCGAGGGUGAUAAUUCUCGCGACUUUUUUCCACGGUCAGGCGACUCGCGCCCGCCGCGAGUAAUCGAAAGAAAUAUUUUCGAGUAUCUCGGAUUAUACGGGAGAAUUUAUGCUCGGCGCGCACCGGGCUGGUGAUAAUGUAUUCUAUUACGAUUUUAAUUGAAACAAAUUUGAGCCACGGUCGCGGGCCGGAGCAAACGCUGCCAUUGAAUUUGCGUGAUAAACGGAGCCCUUUUAUUGAAAUUAUUUAUUAUAGCAGCGCGGCUACGGCGAUGAGCCGCAUAAAUUACGCGCCCGUGUAAUCGGGAGGAGGUAUUUUUGUUAGUUGCUUUAAUAUCCCGCUCGAAACGCUUAAAUUCAGUAAUACUCCUCGCGGCCGCAUUGCGGUCUCGUCGCGCCUUACAAAUUCUUUUGUUCAGUUUUUAAUUUUGUCUAAAGAGGAUCUAAUUUUACAAUAAUGAAAUAUUAUCACUGUUGUUAAUAUUAAAUGGGCGUUAUCGCAAUUUAAGACUUGCAAUUAAUGAAGAGAUGCCAAUAAUUAAAGAGAUUUGCACUUCUGUUUUAAUUAAGAAUUAAACGUCUAUUAGAUCUCCACAAUUAAUUCCUUCUAUAUCAGAUCGGUUGUAUGAAAAAAUAGAAUAUUAAUAAAUGCAUUUAACGUUUAAUUACUCAACGCAUUCAUCAUAUAAUUAUAACUCGUCGUUGCUCAGCGAUUCAAUAUAAAUUAUACUUUAAUCUAAAUGUUAUAUAUUUUAUCAUUAAGUUUUGAAUACCGACCGUAUGAUUAUUUAUAUCGCGAGGGAUAAUAAUUAAGUGCACUUGCAAGUUAUCUCUUACCGUGCGCGCAGUUAAAAGUUUACCCAACCAUUAACUGUUGCCUCAUAUCGCGCAAGACAAAAAGGUGACAAAAGCGCCUCAGUCAAUGAGAUCUGUCACCAGACCUCUUACGUCAGCGCGUUGCAACGAUGCGUUUCUAUUGUGCCGGUUGCGGUUUGUACGUGCAAAAAUGAAUCGUCCGAGAGCGAGCUGGUCGUAAAAUUACUAUUUCCAGAUACACGACGAUCGGACACGCACUUACGCGACUGGGUCAAGGUUGUUUUUCAAACCUGGCAAACAUUCGUAGAGAAUUCCUUCGCAUCUCCCCGCCCAUUAGCGUAUCCAUUAUACACCCGAAUUUACACACUCGCAACACCCUCGAACGGUAGAAUAUCACAACGUUUGCCUCUUCAUUUCCAGAAAACAUUUAGUCCCUUAAAUUUCGUUUAAAAGGAACAUUCCUCUUGAUUCCAGCGAGCCCCCACAAUGUUUCGCACUUGAUAAUUAUCAUGAUAAGAAAUUUUCGAAAAAUCUCCCGUUUGUUACGGCAUAAAGUUUGCACAUUAUUUGAGAAGUGAGAUCAGUUAAAGCAACGCGUAACAAGAAUUUCCACUUGGGCAGGAAGGGCCGCUUCCUUGCAGUCCAUUGUGUGUGUCCUACCGUGCCUUGCUUCCCCUGCUUCUGGGGAUGGUUAAUUGCAGGUUGCCUCGCCUGCUUUGUUUGCAAGUUUGUUUGCGUGAUAAAUACCGUGCUAUUUUCUCGCCGUAUUUUGCCGCGCGCAACUAACAUUAAGGAAUCAUUGUACCGAGUUGUCUCUCCGCUAUCUGCGCCUCCGUUGAGAUCAAUCAUGCCGCGUGCGCUUGUCUCGGGGCGACGUCAAACCUCGCACGACGAGCUUUAAACUAUGCAAGAUAACGUACACCGCAACCUGCAAGGGCGGUGAAUAAGGGAGCCCGGGCAACAAAACACGCUUGGAAGGCUCAAUUCCUCACACACCGAGUCGCGAUAAAUGUAUGACGUCACGAUAAGAAAGUCGCGGCCACGAUUGUGCAAACAGCUUGGAAAUAUAUGUUAAGCAGGCUCCAAACAAUGCCCUCAUUUGCCGAAUAUUCGACGAAAGUGUGUCGUAUUUGUUUAACAAUCUUUUUUCCACCCUCGUUAUAUAUAUAUAUAUGGGACGCUCUCGCAUCGGGCUAGCAAAAUUUCAGGAGCUUUUAACUCGCCGGCUAACAUUUUAAUAAUUUAAUACUUUAACGUUUGACAGCCUGUAAAGUUUCGAGGCGCGGCUCAUUAAAAGAUGAGUAAAAACGUCGCUUACGAGAGAGUCUGUCUUACAGACUUUGAAACAGCUGUGCGUUGAAAAAAAAAAAAA